rnacentral:rRNA from 1 species
GGUUAAGCUACAAAGAGCACACGGAGGAUGCCUAGGCGCCAGGAGCCGACGAAGGACGUGGCGAACAACGAUAAAGCCUCGGGGAGCUGUAAGCAAGCUUUGAUCCGGGGAUGUCCGAAUGGGGAAACCCGGCUGUCUUCAUCGACAGUCACUACUCACUGAAUUCAUAGGUGAGUGAGAGGCAGACCAGGGGAACUGAAACAUCUAAGUACCCUGAGGAAGAGAAAACAAUAGUGAUUCCGUCAGUAGCGGCGAGCGAACGCGGAUUAGCCCAAACCAAGGAGCUUGCUCC